rnacentral:rRNA from 1 species
AGAGUUUGAUCCUGGCUCAGGAUGAACGCUGGCGGCGUGCCUAACACAUGCAAGUCGAGCGAGAAGCUACCUAUGAACCUUCGGGUGAUUAGGCUAGUGGACAGCGGCGGACGGGUGAGUAACGCGUAAAUAACCUGCCAUACACACAAGGAUAGCCAUCGGAAACGGUGAUUAAUACUUGAUGAAGCUAAAAAAUCACAUGGUUUUUUAGUUAAAGAUCUAUCGGUGUAUGAUGGAUUUGCGUUUGAUUAGCUAGUUGGUAAGGUAACGGCUUACCAAGGCAAUGAUCAAUAGCCGGCCUGAGAGGGUGAUCGGCCACACUGGAACUGAGACACGGUCCAGACUCCUACGGGAGGCAGCAGUGGGGAAUCUUGCACAAUGGAGGCAACUCUGAUGCAGCAACGCCGCGUGAAUGAAGAAGGCUUUCGAGUCGUAAAAUUCUGUUCUAAGGGAAGAAGAAGUGACGGUACCUUAGGAGUAAGCCCCGGCUAAUUACGUGCCAGCAGCCGCGGUAACACGUAAGGGGCGAGCGUUAUCCGGAAUUACUGGGCAUAAAGGGUGCGUAGGCGGUAUAUCAAGCCAAUAGUGAAAAGCAUGGGCCUAACCGAUGUAAGCUAAUGGAACUGAUAUACUUGAGUACAGGAGAGGAAAGUGGAAUUUCUAGUGUAGCGGUGAAAUGCGUAGAUAUUAGAAAGAACAUCAGUGGCGAAGGCGACUUUCUGGGACUGUACUGACGCUGAGGCACGAAAGCGUGGGGAGCGAACAGGAUUAGAUACCCUGGUAGUCCACGCCGUAAACGAUGGGUACUAGGUGUCAGACAUAGUAGUUUGGUGCCGGAGCAAAUGUAUUAAGUACCCCGCCUGGGGAGUACGGUCGCAAGGCUGAAACUCAAAAGAAUUGACGGGGACCCGCACAAGCAGCGGAGCAUGUGGUUUAAUUCGAAGCAACGCGAAGAACCUUACCAGGUUUUGACAUACCAAUGUUAUCUGAGUAAUAUCGGAGUUCCCUUUGGGACAUUGGAUACAGGUGGUGCAUGGUUGUCGUCAGCUCGUGUCGUGAGAUGUUGGGUUAAGUCCCGUAACGAGCGCAACCCUUGUCUUUAGUUGCUAACAGGUCAAGCUGAGGACUCUAAAGAGACUGCCGAUGAAGAAAUCGGAGGAAGGUGGGGAUGACGUCAAAUCAUCAUGCCCCUUAUAAUCUGGGCUACACACGUGCUACAAUGGUCGGUACAACGGGUAUGCGAAGCCGCGAGGUGGAGCUAAUCCUCAUCAAGCCGGUCUUAGUUCGGAUUGCAGAUUGAAAUUCAUCUGUAUGAAGUAGGAGUUGCUAGUAAUCGUGGAUCAGAAUGCCACGGUGAAUACGUUCCCGGGUCUUGUACACACCGCCCGUCACACCAUGGGAGUUGGAAGCACCCGAAGUCAGCUUUAAAGCUGCCGAAGGUGAAACCGAUAACUGGGGUGAAGUCGUAACAAGGUAACC